UGUGAAAGGAGCGCAAGGCUUCUUUGGAUUUGUAGUCCAUCGAAUUUACAUUUUAUUUCCAUAGAAACGACGAGACCAGUGAUUGUGUGGGAUUUGCAUUACUUAUAUUCUAAGUAAUGCAUGUCGUUUUCAUAACAUGUAGGUCUUUUAUUUAUAUGAAUAGUAUUUUUAGUCCCGCUUUAUAAAUGCUUUGUGAUUACACAGAUUUUGAUUGGUCGCUCCGUUUUUAUUACAAACUCGCUCUUUCGGGACUUUCAACUUCGUGUCUCCAGACCUGCCUAUGCACUGAAUAUCAAAAUAGGCAAGAUAAACCAUUGUUUUACGUGUCGUAUGUAUCACAUAACAUAAAGCGUACUUAAAUGAACUCGUUGCGUUUGUUUGUGCUGUUUUAGUUCGUGGAUGUAUAUAUAUAGAUAUAUUUAAAAAAAAAAAAUCAUAGUAGUGUAUUUAACUGUUGGUAUGCCGGCACCCCAAGACUAAUUGCCAUGGUACCCAGCAUCCCAGACAACGAGAAAACAGGGGCGUAAUUCAACUGGAGCAACACAUAGAUAACCCGCCACUAGUCUACCUGCUUAUUCCUCCAUUAAUCAUAAUUAAUUUUAUUUUGUUAGACCGGCCAUUCCGACACCCCAGUUGCACUCGUGCACGUCCUCGUGCACGAAUGUAACUGCCUUGCGCACCCCUCUCACGGCGCGUUGCGACCGUCCUGGUAGUAUCGCCCGCCUCGCGCCGAGCAGAGCGCGUUGUUCUCCGCGGGUCGUUGUGAGCGACACGUCUGCUCCUCAGGAUACAACACUUUGUUUUGAAGACAGCAGAUCGAUAACUGAGGGCACGCGUGCUUUUUUUUUCCUUGGUAUUUCUGCUCAUUUGGAAAUAGGAAGAUACUUUAAGACGAGGCCUGACAUUGAAUUGUGGUGGGAUGACAGCGUGAUGAGCAUCGAAGGUAGGCCUGUUUCAUAUUCCGAAGGCCAAACUUCUCUCAGCGAAAUUGGUUUGACUAUUAUUUAGUGUCAGUAUUUGAUAGCCUAUCAUUUCGGACCAGGAUGUAAAAUAUGGUCAGCUUUUAGGUUAGCCUGACGUUUCCUCAGUGCAUCAUUAAUCAUUCCGCCAUCGUUUUUGUAUUUGUUUUGAUCUUUAGUGGCUGGUUCCCUAAUUCAUGAUGUUUGUCCACUGAAGUCUCCUGUUCUGAAGUGGAGACAGCAAUCCAAACCUCAUUAGUUCUCCGCUGCUGAAAGUGGAGCGCAUUCUGUUUCCCGGUGAAAGCGCAAAUACCUCAAAUAUUGACCCUUAACCCUCUACUCUUACAUCUUACAGACAGCCUUGAUACAAAUAUCAGUCCCAUUGUAUUGUUUGAGGACAUGUUUCUCCGGCAGUAACAGAACCUGUGUUGAACCGAGACUUAAUAUUCACUCGCCUUAGUCAAAGCAAUAUGCACGUCAACGCUACUCCCAAGAACCCCGGCUUUCAUUUUCAAGUGGCCGCACUUCUCGGACCCCGCCAAGCUGCCGCUGGUAACUAUGACGAUAGAAAGGGUUUCUCAACGGGGGCAGGCGGGUCCGUCUCAGGCGCAGGCAGGCCGCGCGCGAGAGAGAAGGGGUGUGACAGUGAUUAAUGCCCUGGCAGAAACAGGGACAACUGGGGCCCCCUGCUGUCACCGCAACAUUGCACCAUGAAGGAUGCCGGGAUGCACAUCAGAUCCGCAAAAGAACACAAAGAGGUUUAAUCAUAACCACGUCAAUAAUUCAGCAUCCCAAGGAAUUCAUUACUUCUAAAGCAAAGAAGCAAAUUGAAAUGUUGAAUUAAGGGAGAGAGGGGAAAUGAGAUUCACCUGUGUGCACCCUACUUCAAAGAAAUUCCGUCCUCGCCGUGCAGUGUGUGAUGGAUGGUGGCUUAUUCCUGCGGUCUCUACCUGUAAUGGCUGUGAUCCUGCUUCACAAACACAUCAAAGAAAGUGCAGCUGGCCUUUCCAGGUGUCUCGAGGCGAGGGGUCCCAGUGAGUGGUCCAAAGUCAUGAACUUUGCUGAUUAGCAUGUACAAGGCUUACAGGAGGUGGACGGAUGAAAGACCUCUGGGCAUCUGGCUGCAGGAUAAAGAUAAGGAGCCAACCUCCUGGAUCUACUGCUCUCUUCAUCACAACAAACAUCACCCAUUCAAGGUGCAAUUUGUGGGUGUUUGGCUUGUUUUUGUCUGAUGCAGUUCUGUGGGACUUGUUCCUCUCUCAUGUUACUCACCUGGUUCUCAAACUCUGUUACCGCUCUACCUGGUAACUAGUUAUAUCUUCUGUCCUCCAUUCCCCCACUCAACAACACCCUCGUUUUCCUCCCCCUAUCCUCUCUCCUCCACUCCAAACCCCAUUCUUUCAGCCUGAAAAGGUCUUCUGUCAUGCCCCUCCAACCACCACCACCACCACAACCAGCACAGCUUCUUCUUAUGUGCAGAUAUGCAGCAAUUGCCUUUGCGAGUUCUGUGUGAAAGCAACAUGCCUUUGGUGUGUGUGAACCGCACAUGCAUAUUGUGUGUUUGGCACAUCCUCAACUUUGAGGAAAGGUUAUUUUUCAUUUCCUUUUCUCUUCCCUUUCUCUACUCCAUCAUCCUCUAUCAUCAUCAACCCAAUGACAACGCCUGUACUCUAGUCUGCCUCUCCUGGCCCCCUGACCCUCUUAUCUCCUGGGGAAGAGAAACAGACAACGCCCACACUACCUCGGCCAAGCUUGAAGGUCCGGAAACAGAUCUGAUGAACAGCCUGAAACAGACCAUGUGAAUGCAACAAUCAUUUCCCAAGCCAUUUCCUCGAUCAGAGUAGGAAAACAUGUUGACCCUAUUCAUUUGUGCGAAAAAGGCACGUUGCAGUAGGGUGAAUGUAUGUGCGUGUCUGUGUGUGUGUGUGUGUGUGUGUCUCUUUGUGUGUCUGUGUGUGUGUGUGUGUGUGUGUUUGUGUGUGUGUUUGCAAGUGUGUGUGUGAGUAUGCGUGUUUGUGUGUGUGUGUGUGUGUGUGUGUGUGUGUGUGUGUGUGUGUGUGUGUGUGUGUGUGUGUGUGUGUGUCUGUCUGUCUGUCUGUCUGUGUGUGUGUGUGUGUGUGUGUGUGUGUGUGUGUGUGUGUGUGUGUGUGUGUGUGUGUGUGUGUGUGUGUGUGUG